UGAGACAGAUCAUACUCAAAAUGUAGGCUCAGUAAAAGUAUUCUACAAAACUACCUUCAGGCUAUGGGUGUGAGGUGUAAGUCUUAAACAUAAUUGAGUUUCGUGCUUAGACUGGGGUCCCCAUCCUCAGGAUAUCUCAUUAUGCCUAUGCAGAUUUUCCAAAGUCUGGAAUCUGAAGCACUUCUGGCCUGAAGCAUCUCGGGAUGCUCAAGUUGUAGUAAAAUCGUAACAACAGAUACUUCGUCAUCUCCGAGGAAGUCAGUAGAAACAAGGGCCAUGGUGGCUGCUGAUGGCUGCAUGCUCAUGACAUUUCAGAAGAAAAAAAGGGACUACAGGCUGGGGAGGAUUUCCAGAGAAGGCCACUGCCUGGAGACCAGAGCAGGGGAUGCUCUGGGCUUUCUUAGAGAGGUCCGUAACCAUGGCAGGGAACGGAGUAUUCCUACCGUUGGCUGGCACAGAAAGGCUGAGUUUGUCUUGUGCUCACAUAGGAUUCCAAAGGUAGGUCCAAUGUCAUCGCAAGGAAGAGAAAGGCAGGUGUGUCAGAAGCAGAAGUGACCAAGGAAGCAGGAGGUUGGAGUAAUGAGAGAAGGAGCCAAGGAAUGCAGGCCUCUCUAGAAAUGGAAAAAAGCGGGGAAGUGGACUCUCCCCCAGAGCGUCCAGAAGGAACCUUGACUGCAGCCCACUGAGACUGAUUUUGGACCACUGAACUAACAGGAGAAAGUGCUUCACCAAAACAAGGCAGUAAAGCAAGUAAGAGGAACACAAUGGGAUACAGGAACGGAACACACAAGAAGAAUGGGAACAGAACAAUAUAAGACAAAGGAAAAGGAACUCUUCAGGCAAAUGAUGGAAAGAGAGAGAAUUCAGAAUGACAGCUAUGCCCCCGCCCCACUGAGCGCUCACUUCCGCCUGCUGCAGGGCAGAAGAUGCUGGCGGAGAGCUUUUCAAGAAGUGAAAUUUGUAAACACUUGAGAUUUAAAACAAGAGGUGGGGAAUUUACAGUUGAGUUAAUAAGUACAUAGAUUAUUCUAGGCAAAUGGGUGGAAAAACCAAUAUUACUAACACCAGGAAAAACAUAAAAAAGAAAGUUAAAUUAAAACUUACUACCCGGGCCGGCACCGCGGCUCAAUAGGCUAAUCCUCCGCCUUGCGACGCCGGCACACCGGGUUCUAGUCCCGGUCAGGGCACCGGAUUCUGUCCCGGUUGCCCCUCUUCCAGGCCAGCUCUCUGCUAUGGCCCGGGAGUGCAGUGGAGGAUG